GACGAACGCUGGCGGCGUGCUUAACACAUGCAAGUCGAACGGAAAGGCCCCUUUGGGGGUACUCGAGUGACGAACGGGUGAGUAACACGUGGGUAACCUGCCCUUGACUUCGGGAUAACUUCAGGAAACUGGGGCUAAUACCGGAUAGGAAUCUUUGCUGCAUGGUGUGGGUUGGAAAGCUUCUGCGGUUUUGGAUGGAUUCGCGGCAUAUCAGCUUUUUUGUUGGGUAGUGGCUUACCAAGGCUGUGACGGGUAGGCGGCCUGAGGGGGCGAACGGCCACAUUGGGACUGAGAUACGGCACAGACUCCUACGGGACGCAGCAGUGGAGAAUAUUGCACAAUGGGCGGAGGCCUGAUGCAGCAACGCCGCGUGCGGGAUGACGGCCUUCGGGUUGUAAACCGCUUUCAGCAGGGGCGAAGCUUGUGGUGACGGUACCUGCAGAAGAAGCACCGGCUAACUACGUG
rnacentral:rRNA from 1 species